rnacentral:rRNA from 1 species
AACGAACGCUGGCGGCAUGCCUAACACAUGCAAGUCGAACGAUCCCUUCGGGGAUAGUGGCGCACGGGUGCGUAACGCGUGGGAAUCUGCCCUCAGGUACGGAAUAACUCAGGGAAACUUGAGCUAAUACCGUAUAAUGACUUCGGUCCAAAGAUUUAUCGCCUGGGGAUGAGCCCGCGUCGGAUUAGCUAGUUGGUGAGGUAAAAGCUCACCAAGGCGACGAUCCGUAGCUGGUCUGAGAGGAUGAUCAGCCACACUGGGACUGAGACACGGCCCAGACUCCUACGGGAGGCAGCAGUGGGGAAUAUUGGACAAUGGGCGCAAGCCUGAUCCAGCAAUGCCGCGUGAGUGAUGAAGGCCUUAGGGUUGUAAAGCUCUUUUACCCGGGAAGAUAAUGACUGUACCGGGAGAAUAAGCCCCGGCUAACUCCGUGCCAGCAGCCGCGGUAAUACGGAGGGCCUAGCGUUGUUCGGAAUUACUGGGCGUAAAGCGCACGUA